AUUGAACGCUGGCGGCAGGCCUAACACAUGCGAGUCGAACGGUAGCACAGAGAGCUUGAUCUCGGGUGACGAGUGGCGGACGGGUGAGUAAUGUCUGGGAAACUGCCUGAUGGAGGGGGAUAACUACUGGAAACGGUAGCUAAUACCGCAUAACGUCGCAAGACCAAAGAGGGGGACCUUCGGGCCUCUUGCCAUCAGAUGUGACCAGAAGGGAUUAGCUAGUAGGUGGGGUAACGGCUCACCUAGGCGACGAUCCCUAGCUGGUCUGAGAGGAUGACCAGCCACACUGGAACUGAGACACGGUCCAGACUCCUACGGGAGGCAGCAGUGGGGAAUAUUGCACAAUGGGCGCAAGCCUGAUGCAGCCAUGCCGCGUGUAUGAAGAAGGCCUUCGGGUUGUAAAGUACAUUCAGCGAGGAGGAAGGCGAUACGGUUAAUAACCGUGUCGAUGGACGUUACUCGCAGAAGAAGCACCGGCUAACUCCGUGCCAGCCGCCGCGGUAA
rnacentral:rRNA from 1 species